rnacentral:rRNA from 1 species
UCUGUAGGCUGAUGAAGGUGCAUUGAGAAGUGUGCUGGAGGUAUCAGAAGUGCGAAUGCUGACAUGAGUAACGAUAAUGUGGGUGAAAAGCCCACACGCCGGAAGUCCCAGGUUUCCUGCACGACGUUAAUCGGAGCAGGGUGAGUCGGCCCCUAAGGCGAGGCUGAAGAGCGUAGUCGAUGGGAACCAGGUUAAUAUUCCUGGACUUUUUAUAAGUGGUGAAGUGGGGACGAAGAAGGCUAGGUGAGCCAGGCGUUGGUUGUCCUGGUACUUGCAUGUAGGGGGGAAGACUUGGCAAAUCCGGUUUUCCAUAACUCUGAGGUGCGAAGUGGUUCUGACCUUUUGGUACAGAGAAGUCAUUGAUGCCCGGCUUCCAGGAAAAGCUGCUAGCCAUAACUUAUAGAGAACCGUACCGCAAACCGACACAGGUGGACAGGUAGAGAAUACUAAGGCGCUUGAGAGAACUCGGGUGAAGGAACUAGGCAAAAUGGUACCGUAACUUCGGGAGAAGGUACGCCCUUUUGGGUGAGGGCAUUUACUGUCUGAGCUUAAGAGGGCCGCAGAGACCAGGUGGCUGCGACUGUUUAUUAAA